rnacentral:rRNA from 1 species
UACGAAGGUCCCAAGCGUUAUCCGGAUUUAUUGGGUUUAAAGGGUGCGUAGGCGGAUUAUUAAGUCAGUGGUGAAAGCUCCAUGCCUAACAUGGAAAUUGCCAUUGAUACUGAUAGUCUUGAGUACAUUUGAAGUGGGCGGAAUGUGUCAUGUAGCGGUGAAAUGCUUAGAUAUGACACAGAACACCGAUUGCGUAGGCAGCUCGCUAAACUGUAACUGACGCUGAGGCACGAAAGCGCGGGGAGCAAACAGG